AACGAACGCUGGCGGCAUGCCUAACACAUGCAAGUCGAACGAGAUCUUCGGGUCUAGUGGCGCACGGGUGCGUAACGCGUGGGAAUCUGCCCUUUGGUUCGGAAUAACAGUUGGAAACGACUGCUAAUACCGGAUGAUGACGAAAGUCCAAAGAUUUAUCGCCAGAGGAUGAGCCCGCGUAGGAUUAGCUAGUUGGUGUGGUAAAGGCGCACCAAGGCGACGAUCCUUAGCUGGUCUGAGAGGAUGAUCAGCCACACUGGGACUGAGACACGGCCCAGACUCCUACGGGAGGCAGCAGUGGGGAAUAUUGGACAAUGGGCGAAAGCCUGAUCCAGCAAUGCCGCGUGAGUGAUGAAGGCCCUAGGGUUGUAAAGCUCUUUUACCCGGGAUGAUAAUGACAGUACCGGGAGAAUAAGCCCCGGCUAACUCCGUGCCAGCCGCCGCAGUAA
rnacentral:rRNA from 1 species